CAAGAACUCAUGCUCGGUUAGGCAUAAGUAUAAAAGGACAGCCCAUUUGAAGGGCAAACCGUGCGAUUUCUUCAAAAUGAUCAGAGUGGAGAAUGGUAAUCGACAUUUGAAGUGAGGCCCAACAGAGGGUCUGGACAAAAGCUAUUGGGUCCACGUGAAGUGAAGCCCACGAGAAGCUGGUGGUGGUGGUGGUGGUGCCCCUCCCUUUUUUGUUUGCAUGGGUGAAGGUGGUGGUGGAGGUGCGACUCCCUUUCUCUUUCCCAUUGGCGUUGGUGGUGGUGGAGGUGCAGCUACCUUUGCCGCUGGCUUCAGUGGAGGGGCUUCCGGCACUGCUCUGUUUGAUGCCUUUGGUGGAAGUGGGUGUGGGGUCACCAUACCCUUUAAUCCUUU